rnacentral:rRNA from 1 species
UAACGGCCCACCUAGUCAACGAUGGAUAGGGGUUCUGAGAGGAAGGUCCCCCACAUUGGAACUGAGACACGGUCCAAACUCCUACGGGAGGCAGCAGUGAGGAAUAUUGGUCAAUGGGCGAUGGCCUGAACCAGCCAAGUAGCGUGAAGGAUGACUGCCCUAUGGGUUGCAAACUUCUUUUAUAAAGGAAUAAAGUCGGGUAUGCAUACCCGUUUGCAUGUACUUUAUGAAUAAGGAUCGGCUAACUCCGUGCCAGCAGCCGCGGUAAUACGGAGGAUCCGAGCGUUAUCCGGAUUUAUUGGGUUUAAAGGGAGCGUAGAUGGAUGUUUAAGUCAGUUGUGAAAGUUUGCGGCUCAACCGUAAAAUUGCAGUUGAUACUGGAUGUCUUGAGUGCAGUUGAGGCAGGCGGAAUUCGUGGUGUAGCGGUGAAAUGCUUAGAUAUCACGAAGAACUCCGAUUGCGAAGGCAGCCUGCUAAGCUGCAACUGACAUUGAGGCUCGAAAGUGUGGGUAUCAAACAGGAUUAGAUACCCUGGUAGUCCACACGGUAAACGAUGAAUACUCGCUGUUUGCGAUAUACGGCAAGCGGCCAAGCGAAAGCGUUAAGUAUUCCACCUGGGGAGUACGCCGGCAACGGUGAAACUCAAAGGAAUUGACGGGGGCCCGCACAAGCGGAGGAACAUGUGGUUUAAUUCGAUGAUACGCGAGGAACCUUACCCGGGCUUAAAUUGCACUCGAAUGAUCCGGAAACGGUUCAGCUAGCAAUAGCGAGUGUGAAGGUGCUGCAUGGUUGUCGUCAGCUCGUGCCGUGAGGUGUCGGCUUAAGUGCCAUAACGAGCGCAACCCUUGUUGUCAGUUACUAACAGGUGAUGCUGAGGACUCUGACAAGACUGCCAUCGUAAGAUGUGAGGAAGGUGGGGAUGACGUCAAAUCAGCACGGCCCUUACGUCCGGGGCUACACACGUGUUACAAUGGGGGGUACAGAGGGCCGCUACCACGCGAGUGGAUGCCAAUCCCUAAAACCCCUCUCAGUUCGGACUGGAGUCUGCAACCCGACUCCACGAAGCUGGAUUCGCUAGUAAUCGCGCAUCAGCCACGGCGCGGUGAAUACGUUCCCGGGCCUUGCACACACCGCCC